rnacentral:misc_RNA from 1 species
GAUGAAGAACGCAGCGAAAUGCGAUAAGUAAUGUGAAUUGCAGAAUUCAGUGAAUCAUCGAAUCUUUGAACGCACAUUGCGCCCCCUGGUAUUCCGGGGGGCAUGCCUGUCCGAGCGUCAUUACAACCCUCAAGCUCAGCUUGGUGUUGGGCCCCGCCGCCCCGGCGGGCCCUAAAGUCAGUGGCGGUGCCGUCCGGCUCCGAGCGUAGUAAUUCUUCUCGCUCUGGAGGUCCGGUCGUGUGCUCGCCAGCAACCCCCAAUUUUUUUCAGGUUGACCUCGGAUCAGGUAGGGAUACCCGCUGAACUUAAGCAUACAAUAGCGGAGGA